rnacentral:misc_RNA from 1 species
GAUGAAGAACGUAGCGAAAUGCGAUAAGUAAUGUGAAUUGCAGAAUUCAGUGAAUCAUCGAAUCUUUGAACGCACAUUGCGCCCUCUGGUAUUCCGGGGGGCAUGCCUGUUCGAGCGUCAUUAUAACCACUCAAGCUUUCGCUUGGUAUUGGGGCUCGCGGUUCCGCGGCCCCUAAAAUCAGUGGCGGUGCCUGUCGGCUCUACGCGUAGUAAUACUCCUCGCGAUUGAGUCCGGUAGGUCUACUUGCCAGCAACCCCCAAUUUUUACAGGUUGACCUCGGAUCAGGGAGGGAUACCCGCUGAACUUAAGCAUAUCAAUAAGCGGAGGA